rnacentral:lncRNA from 1 species
AUGGCCCUUCUCUGUGCGGACUGUAGCAUGGUGUUCAGCUCUGGGAGCCUGCUGCAGAGACAUCAGAUCCAGCUCUGUGUGGGGAAGGCUGCAGGAGACCCCAUAGCAGCACGCAAGGAGCCUGAAACUCAGGCCGCAGACCGUGGAAUAGGUGUUGAGUCUCGGAGAACAACGACCCCAGAGCUCAUCAAGAAGAGAAACAAUAACCAGGGAAUCGUUGAUGCCGCACCCAAUGCCGACCGAGUAGAAGAAGAGAAGAGACCUAGAAGACAAGAGAACCAUCCCCUGAAAACCCUUUCAGACGAGGUUCCAGGAGGUCGGGCCGGUCAGGACACCAGACUCAGGUUAAUGGAGGAGAGGACCAAGCUGCAUAAGACCCGGCUGGCCCAGAUACACGAUCACAACCAGCAGCUGCAGCGCCAGAGAGAAGAGCUCUUCCAACAGAUGGGUGCCCUUUCAGGGCAGACCACUGCCAGUCACCUGGAGAAUCUGCUGGUUCAGCAAAAGGACAAAGAAGACAGGAGCGAAGAAAUACUCCGACAACUGACCCGGCGCCUCGACACACUGCAGGUUGAAUCGAUAGCCACCAACCAGCCUGGUCCCGAUCGAAAUAGGGCCCAUUCCCUUAACUUUGACCUGUUAAGAUCUUCUACAGACGGACCUCUUUCUUCCCAGAUAAGGGAGAUGCAGGCGGCCUAUGUGCAGUCUGGGGGGUCGGACCCGGGCCUUCUGGCCCAGAUGAUGGACCUCCAGCGAGAGGCCCAGCGGUUGGAGCAGGCCCCCCUUGAGGCCGAGGCCAAGGGGAGGAGGAAGAGUGAGUCCUUCAGGUCCACACAGAGAGCAAGGAUUGAUGAGAUUGGUCCUCAUGAACAUCUGAUGUGGAUGGAUGUUCCUCAGCUUCUUGACUUAACUGUUAUGCUAGUAGGGAAACAAUGGUUGCUGGGUUUCCAAGGUUUCCAAGUUAGUGUACUUUCAUUCCAGACGGGUAAUUUAUGA